rnacentral:rRNA from 1 species
AUACGUAGGGGGCAAGCGUUAUCCGGAUUUACUGGGUGUAAAGGGAGCGUAGACGGUGUGACAAGUCUGAUGUGAAAACCCGGGGCUCAACUCCGGGAUUGCAUUGGAAACUGCCAUACUUGAGUGCAGGAGAGGUAAGCGGAAUUCCUAGUGUAGCGGUGAAAUGCGUAGAUAUUAGGAGGAACACCGGCGGCGAAGGCGGCUUUCUGGACUGUAACUGACGUUGAAGCUCCAAAGCGUGGGGAGCAAACAGGAUUAGAUUCCCUUGUAGUCCACGCCGUAAACGAUGAAUUCUAGGUUUUGGGGGUCUAUAGGCCCUCGGUGCCGCAGCAAACGCAAUAAGUAUUCCACCUGGGGAGUACGUUCGCAAGAAUGAAACUCAAAUGAAUUGGCGGGG